rnacentral:rRNA from 1 species
GAUGAACGCUGGCGGCGUGCCUAAUACAUGCAGGUCGAGCGAACGGACGAGAAGCUUGCUUCUCUGAUGUUAGCGGCGGACGGGUGAGUAACACGUGGAUAACCUACCUAUAAGACUGGGAUAACUUCGGGAAACCGUAGCUAAUACCGGAUAAUAUUUUGAACCGCAUGGUUCAAAAGUGAAAGACGGUCUUGCUGUCACUUAUAGAUGGAUCCGCGCUGCAUUAGCUAGUUGGUAAGGUAACGGCUUACCAAGGCAACGAUGCAUAGCCGACCUGAGAGGGUGAUCGGCCCCACUGGAACUGAGACACGGUCCAGACUCCUACGGGAGGCAGCAGUAGGGAAUCGUCCGCAAUAGGCGAAAGCCUGACGGAGCAACGCCGCGUGAGUGAUGCAGGUCUUCGGAUCGUAAAACUCUGUUAUUAGGGAAGAACAUAUGUGUAAGUAACUGUGCACAUCUUGACGGUACCUAAUCAGAAAGCCACGGCUAACUACGUG